rnacentral:rRNA from 1 species
AACGAACGCUGGCGGCAUGCCUAACACAUGCAAGUCGAACGAAGGCUUCGGCCUUAGUGGCGCACGGGUGCGUAACGCGUGGGAAUCUGCCCUUGGGUUCGGAAUAACAGUGGGAAACCGCUGCUAAUACCGGAUGAUGACGUAAGUCCAAAGAUUUAUCGCCCAAGGAUGAGCCCGCGUAGGAUUAGCUAGUUGGUGGGGUAAUGGCCCACCAAGGCGACGAUCCUUAGCUGGUCUGGGAGGAUGAUCAGCCACACUGGGACUGAGACACGGCCCAGACUCCUACGGGAGGCAGCAGUAGGGAAUCUUGCGCAAUGGGCGAAAGCCUGACGCAGCCAUGCCGCGUGAAUGAUGAAGGUCUUAGGAUUGUAAAAUUCUUUCACCGGGGAAGAUAAUGACGGUACCCGGAGAAGAAGCCCCGGCUAACUUCGUGCCAGCAGCCGCAGUAACAC